rnacentral:SRP_RNA from 1 species
GCUGGGCACAGUCACACACACCUAUAGUCCCAGCUACUUAGGAGGCUAAGGGAGGAGAACUGUUUGAGUCCAGGAGUUCUAAGUUGUAGUACACUACGUCAAUCGGGUGGUCUACAUUAAGUUCAGCAUCAAUAUGGUGACCUCUGGGGAGCAGGAGACGACCAGGUUGCCUAAGGAAGGGAGAACUGGCCGAGGUUGGAAACAGAACAGGUCCAAACUUCCAUGCUAAUCAGUUGCGGGACUGCACCUAUGAAUAGCCACUGCACUUCAAUCUGGGCAAAAUAGUGAGACCCUAUCUCU